rnacentral:tRNA from 1 species
GGAGCGGUAGCUCAAUUGGUUAGAGCACCGCCCUGUCACGGCGGAGGUUGCGGGUUCGAUUCCCGUCCGCUCCGCCA